rfam:Bombyx mori DNA, contig: Bm_scaf104_contig36474, strain: p50T/Dazao, build 2, whole genome shotgun sequence.
UAAUCUCAUAAUUUGUAAGGAGUUGGAACGUUUGCCUAUGUUUGCCGCUAGGGGCACUAUUCCAGCUGCAUACAAAUUUGAGUUA